CCAUUUCCUUCUACAAAUCUCACAAAAAUCACAACCAAACCUCCAUAGAUUCAACCAAAACUUCACAUACUCUUAGCUCUACACUUGGACAACACAUUAAGCUGAAAAGGGGAGGAGCUUUCACGGUUUCUUCAGGCUUCAAAAGGACCGAAUCUCUGUCUUAAACAUCAACUAAGAGUUAGAUUGGAAGAUUUUGGUAAAGCCGACUAGAUUAUACUUUUGAUUAGAAUCGGGGCUGUAAAUGUGUAGUCGACUUUUAAUGGUUGCAUUUUGGAACUUGAUAUAUCUUUUGUGAAUAUGAUGUAAGAUUUAAAUAUUUAGUUAAGGAAGCGACUUUUCUUUA